UUUCAUACCGAAGUGCAUAUUGUUCAACGUGCUGGCUCGGCUCAGAAAUCACAGCCACUGAUGCAAGGAGAGUGAUGCGUAUGCACAACACACGGGUGCGUAAAAAAAAUGCCUCCUAGAUUUGGAUUGGUUGGUGGGCGGGACUUGAAGCAGGGGCAGACGGGCCAAGCAGAGGAGACGGCCACAGGCCGUGAAGGUUUACACUGCUGCUGAAGUGAGCGGAUAUGUGGGCGAAUUGGCUGCACUGACAGAGCUCCUCUCUCUUCAGCGUCUGCAGGCAACUGACAAGGGGGUGUGUAACCUGAUCCUGCAAGAGCUCUUACUUCCUGCCCCUGAUUGACAGCUCACUGUUCCUCAUGUAAUUUGAGACGCAUAGUGAGGCACACAGUCACGUCUUUAACUGUCUCCAUUAUCUGCAAUACCUAGCUGUGUUCCAGAAGAGAGAAAGUGAAAAUGGACCAAGAAAAUAUAAUUGCUGAUUCUCCAGCUGAUACCUCUGUAGAGAUAGAGGAUGAUUCCAUAUCUUCUUCCGAACCAUCGAUGGCAAAGGAUGAAAGUGUAAUAUAUCUAAUAAUUUUAUUAUAUACUUGAAAUUAUCAUUUCUGUAAUAGAGAUAAUGCAUAUAUAAUUUAAAAUAAAAUGAUAUAUGUUGGUAUCUUUAGUAUACAUAAACUUGUAUAUACACGACUCUUCAAAUUGUUACACCCUUAUAAAUUUUUUGCAUUUUUAGAAGUAAUGCAUAAUAUAAGAGUCCAACUUUUGUUUCCUCAUUAGGACUUCUCUCAAGGUACAAAUUAGGACCCAAACGUUAUACUCUUAUAUCAUCCAUUGUUAAUAAAAAGGAAUAUAUUUUACAAGGUUGCAGUGCCGGGCCAACACGGGCAGGCGCCCUAGGCAGGCUGGCCCGGCAAAGCACCCAAUACGCGAGUGCGCAUGUGCGAAAAGACACAAGUGCGCACGCGCACUAGUAUUUUUCGCGCAUGCGCACUAGUAUUUUUCGCGCAUGCGCACUCGCUCAAACGCGCAUAUCGGCCAGAGCAGGGACCGCACUAGGGGAUAGCAGUGGCAGAGAAGGUGCUUUUCCUACCACUAGUUUCAGCCAUGCAAGGUUGUGACAGUUCGAAGAAUCGUGUAUAUAAAAGUUGUUUACCUAGAUUCCUAAAAGGAAAUAUGGCCUUUGAGUGUGGAUACUCAAAACAUCGUUAUAUGAUUAUAUUGAAAUAUAAUUAUUUUUCAUCAUCGCAUGAGAAAUAACCUUGGUGAUUCAGUUAACGGCCAAUGUGUCCCUUACAAUCCGAUCUGGACGCCUCAAGUGAGAGAAUGAAGAAGGAGACAGAGGGAAGACCCUAGAGUAGGGAAUACUAAUUGGUGCAAAUGUGGUAACUGCAUACCUAUGCCGACAGCACGAGAAUCGGUUUGUUGUAAGGACAUAACAAAUCUAUAGCAGCAUUUCUCUGACGAUGUACAGUGUAUUACCCAUGUCCAAGAAAUGCUGGAUCACUGUGUAGAAAAGAGAUAUCUUGAAUUUACAAUAAGGAAUGGAAGGAUGGCUACGCAGAUCGAGAUGAAUAAUCACUAUAACAGGUAAGGUUUUUCAUUUGUUUCACUGUCCUAUCACUGUCCUAUCACUGUAUAUGCUUUUCCUAUAUCCAUAUCUUUCUUCUCUCUCUCUUUUUUCUCUUACACUGUCUCUGUCACUCUGUCUUCAUAUCUAUUGUCCUCUCCUUUGUUUCUAUUUUCAGCCUUUUAACAUUUUUUUUUUGUAUUGGCAGAGUUAUGCGCAGAGGUGCCUAUAGAGCCUUUACUACAUGGACCCAUGGAUUUCUUGGACAAAAAAAUCGAAUUGUCAUUCCAGCUUGUUUUGUGAAUUUAAUUAGACUUACCUUGAUCCUGCUGGAAUUUAUGUAGGUUUUAAACAAGCAGAGGAUGAUCCUGCUUUAAAAAUGGCUCUUGAUUAAAAUGUUAUUUUUUUGCAGAAUUUAAAUACAAAUAGUUGUAAUAAAUGAUUAUAGUUUGUAUUGUGUAUCCGUAAUUUAUCUACUUAUUGUAAAAAAAUUUGAAAUAAAGCUUUUUUACAAUU